UGCCAGCCGCCGCGGUAAUACGGAGGGGGCAAGCGUUAUUCGGAAUUAUUGGGCGUAAAGGGCGUGUAGGCGGCUUCGUGUGUCCUUUGUGAAAGCCCUCGGCUCAACCGAGGAAUUGCAGGGGAAACUGCGGAGCUCGAGUCCGGGAGAGGAAAGCGGAAUUCUCAGUGUAGCGGUGAAAUGCGUAGAUAUUGGGAAGAACACCCGUGGCGAAGGCGGCUUUCUGGACCGGUACUGACGCUGAGACGCGAAAGCUAGGGGAGCAAACGGGAUUAGAUA
rnacentral:rRNA from 1 species